rnacentral:pre_miRNA from 1 species
GUCUGGAAAUACUUGUCAUCAAAAUGAAUAAAAGAGAAUGUAUCUGGACGUAUUUUAGUUCUAGAUACAUCUCUUUUUAUCCAUUUUGAUGACAAGUAUUUUUGGAC